AGUGAACGCUGGCGGCGUGCUUAACACAUGCGAGUCGAACGAGAACGGGUUAUAGCUUGCUAUAAUUGUCAGCUAAGUGGCGCACGGGUGAGUAAUGUAUAGGUAAUAUGCCUCUUACUAAGGGAUAACAAUUGGAAACGAUUGCUAAUACCUUAUACUCCUUAUUAACAGAAGUUAAUAAGGGAAAGAUUUAUUGGUAAGAGAUUAGCCUGUAUUGUAUCAGUUAGUUGGUGGGGUAAUGGCUUACCAAGACUAUGACACAUAACUGGUUUGAGAGGAUGAUCAGUCACACUGGAACUUAGACACGGUCCAGACUCCUACGGGAGGCAGCAGUGGGGAAUAUUGCACAAUGGACGAAAGUCUGAUGCAGCAACGCCGCGUGGAGGAUGACACAUUUCGGUGCGUAAACUCCUUUUAUAUGAGAAGAUAAUGACGGUAUUAUAUGAAUAAGCACCGGCUAACUCCGUGCCAGCCGCCGCAGUAA
rnacentral:rRNA from 1 species